AUUUAGAAGCUGGCGCGAAGGGGAGGGACUAAAAGUGAAAAUCCCCCAUCUAAAGGGACAAUGCACAUGGCCCAAGUCGCAUGCUGACUUUCCCCUUUCCAAUGCUGUCUUAUUGUGCUAUUUAAAAUAAAAAAAAACUGUUUUAAAAUCAUUUUUACAUUUUCCACUUUUUUUAAAGAAGAAAAAAAAAAAUCCUUAAUGCUCUCUAACUCUCCCCAUUUCCUCUUUUCUUUUCAGCCGAAAGGUUCAUCUCAAGCCCUCAACCACCCUUCAAAAUCUGAUUGUGACCAACAAAGCAAGACCUUUCGACAGCGAAAACACGAUGCAACUCCGGUGUGUCAGAUGUGGGUGGCUCACGAGGAGGUGAGGGGCGUGCGUGGGUGGUGCGCGUGAUGGCCAAGGGUGAGGGGGUGGCGGCUGAAAACUUGGUGGCUAGGGUUUUUUUGCUGCUGAAAAUGUUUAGUUUGUUGGGCUAGGUGGGCUUUAGGUUUUUUUAUUAUUUGGGUCAUUUGAUGUGGAAGUUGGGCCUGCUGUUUUUGGGGUGGGUAUUUGGUUGUAUUUGGGCCAAAAUUGGCCUAUAACAAAUAUGAAUUACACAAUUUGGGUUAUCCAAAAACCCGAAUAAGAAAAAAUAAAACUAUGUCGUUUUGAGAAA